AAUAAGAUUAUUUUUCUGUUUUUUAUACAAUGUUUUGACUCUUCGUCUUAUUUGAAACUUUUUUACGAUUAAUAUUUUUAUUCUUACUAGAUAAUAAAACAUAAAUAGUAUUUUAUGCCUGAUUAUUAUUUUUUCUAAUAAAUUUUUAAAAUAAGACGAAUGAUCCAACAUUGGACACGAAAAACGAAAAAUAAAAUUAUU
rnacentral:pre_miRNA from 1 species